rnacentral:rRNA from 1 species
GACGAACGCUGGCGGCGUGCUUAACACAUGCAAGUCGAACGGUAAGGCCCUUCGGGGUACACGAGUGGCGAACGGGUGAGUAACACGUGGGUGAUCUGCCCUGCACUUCGGGAUAAGCCUGGGAAACUGGGUCUAAUACCGGAUAGGACCACUGCCUGCAUGGGUGGUGGUGGAAAGCUUUUGCGGUGUGGGAUGGGCCCGCGGCCUAUCCGCUUGUUGGUGGGGUGAUGGCCUGACAAGGCGAAGACGGGUAGCCGGCCUGAGAGGGUGACCGGCCACACUGGGACUGAGAUACGGCCCAGACUCCUACGGGAGGCAGCAGUGGGGAAUAUUGCACAAUGGGCGCAAGCCUGAUGCAGCGACGCCGCGUGAGGGAUGACGGCCUUCGGGUCGUAAACCUCUUUCAGCACCGACGAAGCGCAAGUGACGGUAGGUGCAGAAGAAGGACCGGCCAACUACGUGCCAGCCGCCGCGGUAA